AUCACCAAAGAAACGAGUCAACGACCGACUUACAGGCGUGGCCUAAUAGUAAUAAUAUGUUUUUAACUAAUAGUAAAGUUUAAUAAGUUAAUUAUUUAGUUGUAGUGAUUACUAAUUGUAAUCAAAAGUAUGAACCACCAUUUCUAGUGCCGGCGUGCGAUUUAAUGUGAUUAAAAGUGCGGGCAAGAUCGCUUCUGAAAAAGGCGUCGUCUUCGUUGUAAUAUUGUUUAUUUUGAAACGGAACAAUGUACGGAAGAAAGACUCCUUCCACUUACCGCUCCACGCCUUCUGUAUACUCUCAUUACACGGGAAAAUCAACCACAAACCUUCGGUCCACUAAAUCGGUGCGGUCUUUGCAUGUGCCAUGGUACCAGAAACCAUUACUCCACGAUGCGUUCUUCCUGGAUCUGCAAAGAGGAUCGCUGCUCACCGGAUUCAUAUCACUUUUCAUAGCGCUGUUCACGUUCGCACAGAGCAUCUUCGACCUGUACUGCCUGGGCAUGGCCACGCCCGGCUCUGUGCACUACGGCUACUACGUCAUCAGCUUUCAGUUCGUCUACGUGGGAAGUACACCAGUUCGCAAUGUCCUGAUUGUGUUUUCACUGUUCUCAUGGAUUGGAUCGGUGGCUGUUCUCAUCACUAGUAUUAUUCUCAUCAAUGCUUUGCGGAAGGAACACGAGAAACGCAUAGUACCAUGGUUGUACACGUUCGGCGUGUUCACUUCAUUCCGCCUCGUGGCGUUCAUAUUCGCCGCCAUUGUGAACGACAUGAUAUUCGGCUACAACAUAGUGAUGUGCCUGUGCUGGAUCGUGUUCGUCGUGAUCGGCGCUUACGGCUGGCUGCUGGUGUACAGCUUGUAUCUGGAGCUGGCCGACUUGACCAAACUGGAGGACUUGGCGCAUUUGAGGGUGAGUCACCUAAGCCUAAAAAGGUCGCCCCUUUAUUGAUUUGGAAACCAGUUAUUAAAUACUACUGCACAGGCUGAUAAAGCAGAAUGCAUACAUCAAGUGAGUAUUGGAUUGCUGAUGUCAGAUUGACAUUGACAGAUAGAAACGUCAUAUUGACUAUAGCGGUAAUUGUGAACGACAUGAUAUUCGGCUACAACAUAGUGAUGUGCCUGUGCUGGAUCGUGUUCGUCGUGAUCGGCGCUUACGGCUGGCUGCUGGUGUACAGCUUGUAUCUGGAGCUGGCCGACUUGACCAAACUGGAGGACUUGGCGCAUUUGAGGAUGGGCACAAUGGCGUCAUUAAACGCGUCUCUGGCGGGCUCCAGGCCGACGACGCCCCACAGCACGGUGUCCACGAUGCCGGCCUCGCAGAUCUGAUGCCCGGGCCCCGGGCGCGGGAGCCCCGACAACGAACCGGACGAGGCGAUGCCGCUGGCUGAAGGCAGUUUGGAGACACCGGUUUAGUUUUGGGAAACAUUAUAUAAUUUUUUUUAACUAUCAGUUUAACUCAUGCGCACACGACGCCUCAUUGAACAGUAAAACUUUAAUGUUUAUACAUACAUAAAUCAUUCUGGCAAAUGGUCAGGUAAGAAGUACUCAAAACCAAAGGGUUGCAUGAAGAGAGUUAUGAAUGUGGAUGAAGCGAAAGAAGUUUGCAGGGAUCGUGGCAAGUGGAAAGAUAUAGUCUGCCUAUCUCUCCAGGAAAGAGGUGAUUUAUGUAUGUAUAUAAAUAAAUCAUGCCUACCACCCACGUCAUCCUAUUCAUUUGCCAUGAUCCAGCAUAAUUAUUUUGUUUCAUCAAUAUUUUCAUGCAAUGACGGUUUAGGACCUUAUCGACCUGAUCUUUCCACCAGAAUGUCUCCGAUUUCUUUAUAGUCUAUAGGAUUUACUUCAGACCAUAUAAUUUCGUAUUAUUUUAAAAAUAGCUUUAACUGACUUGUCUACGCCCCCUAACAUAUAGUAAAUACAUAUUUGUAAGACAUUAUUCUAUAUCUAUACAUAUAUACGGAAUUUGUCUGUGUAACCAGCAACAUCGUCAUAUCACACAUAUUAAAUAGCGGAACCCGGGCUCUAAAGUAAUACCGCUUAGGAUAUAACCGGGAUUGGAACACACAAAAAAAAAAGACUUUAAAAAAAUACUAUACUUAUUAGGAAAAAAAAGAUAA